rnacentral:rRNA from 1 species
GAUGAACGCUAGCGGCAGGCUUAACACAUGCAAGUCGAGGGGUAACAGGGAAGCUUGCUUCCGCUGACGACCGGCGCACGGGUGCGUAACACGUAUGGAAUCUGCCCUUUACUGGAGAAUAGCCCGAAGAAAUUCGGAUUAAUGCUCCAUAAUAAACGAGAUGGCAUCAUCUUGUUUGAAAGCUCCGGCGGUAAAGGAUGACCAUGCGCCCGAUUAGUUUGUUGGUGAGGUAACGGCUCACCAAGACUACGAUCGGUAGGGGCCUGAGAGGGUUAUCCCCACACUGGUACUGAGACACGGACCAGACUCCUACGGGAGGCAGCAGUGAGGAAUAUUGGUCAAUGGGCGGAAGCCUGAACCAGCCAUGCCGCGUGCGGGAUGAAGGCCCUACGGGUUGUAAACCGCUUUUCCCCGGGAAGAACUAAGCCCCCGCGGGGGUGAGUGCCGGUACCGGGGAGUAAGGAUCGGCGUAACUCCGUG